GACGAACGCUGGCGGCGUGCUUAACACAUGCAAGUCGAACGGAAAGGCCCUGCUUUUGUGGGGUGCUCGAGUGGCGAACGGGUGAGUAACACGUGAGUAACCUGCCCUUGACUUUGGGAUAACUUCAGGAAACUGGGGCUAAUACCGGAUAGGAGCUCCUGCUGCAUGGUGGGGGUUGGAAAGUUUCGGCGGUUGGGGAUGGACUCGCGGCUUAUCAGCUUGUUGGUGGGGUAGUGGCUUACCAAGGCUUUGACGGGUAGCCGGCCUGGGAGGGUGGCCGGCCACAUUAGGACUGAGAUACGGCCCAGACUCGAACGGGAGGCAACGGUGGGGAAUAUUGCACAAUAGGCGGAAGCCUGAUGCAGCAACGCCGCGUGCGGGAUGACGGCCUUCGGGUUGUAAACCGCUUUCGCCUGUGACGAGGCGUGAGUGACGGUAAUGGGUAAAGAAGCACCGGCUAACUACGUG
rnacentral:rRNA from 1 species